GGAAUAUUGGACAAUGGGCGCAAGCCUGAUCUAGCCAUGCCGCGUGUGUGAAGAAGGCCUUCGGGCUGUAAAGCACUUUCAGUGGGGAGGAAAGGUUGGCGGUUAAUACCCGUCAGCUGUGACGUUACCCACAGCAGAAGGACCGGCUCACUCCGUGUCGGCAGCCGCGGUAAUACGGAGGGUCCGAGCGUUAAUCGGAAUUACUGGGCGUAAAGCGCACGCAGGCGGUUUGUUAAGCUAGAUGUGAAAGCCCCGGGCUCAACCUGGGAAUCGCAUUUAGAACUGGCAGGCUAGAGUUUUGGAGAGGGGAGUGGAAUUCCAGGUGUAGCGGUGAAAUGCGUAGAUAUCUGGAGGAACAUCAGUGGCGAAGGCGACUCCCUGGUCAAUAACUGACGCUCAUGUGCGAAAGUGUGGGUAGCGAAC
rnacentral:rRNA from 1 species